rfam:Otolemur garnettii contig016745, whole genome shotgun sequence.
GGUGUUCCUAGGUUUGGAAACAUAAAUCCCCCCGGGAAGGCAGUUGAAGAACAUUUUCUACAUCACUCAUCCUAUUAUGAGGCCUCUGCUGUUCCGUCUCUCGCCAAGG